AUUGAACGCUGGCGGAAUGCUUUACACAUGCAAGUCGAACGGUAGAGGGGGCAACCCCUCGAGAGUGGCGAACGGGUGAGUAAUAUAUCGGAACGUGCCCAGUCGUGGGGGAUAACGUAGCGAAAGUUACGCUAAUACCGCAUACGAUCUAAGGAUGAAAGCGGGGGAUCGCAAGACCUCGCGCGAUUGGAGCGGCCGAUAUCAGAUUAGGUAGUUGGUGGGGUAAAGGCUCACCAAGCCAACGAUCUGUAGCUGGUCUGAGAGGACGACCAGCCACACUGGACCUGAGACACGGUCCAGACUCAUACGGGAGGCAGCAGUGGGGAAUUUUGGACAAUGGACGCAAGUCUGCUCCAGCCAUUCCGCGUGCAGGAUGAAGGCCCUCGGGUUGUAAACUGCUUUUGUACGGAACGAAAAGGUCUCUCUUAAUACGGGGGACUCAUGACGGUACCGUAAGAAUAAGCACCGGCUAACUACGUGCCAGCCGCCGCCGUAA
rnacentral:rRNA from 1 species